UGUGUGCAGGCUUCCCUUCAGAUCUACGU
rnacentral:piRNA from 1 species